GUUAGAGUGGAGUAGUAGUUUAACUCGCUGCCCUCCCAAGGCAGAGACCCGGGUGCGAAUCCCGGCUCUAGCA
rnacentral:tRNA from 1 species